CGUAGGGUCCGAGCGUUGUCCGGAAUUAUUGGGCGUAAAGAGCUUGUAGGCGGUUUGUCACGUCGGAAGUGAAAACUCAGGGCUUAACCCUGAGCCUGCUUCCGAUACGGGCAAACUAGAGGAAUGCAGGGGAGAAUGGAAUUCCUGGUGGAGCGGUGGAAUGCGCAGAUAUCAGGAGGAACACCGGUGGCGAAGGCGGUUCUCUGGGCAUUUCCUGACGCUGAGAAGCGAAAGCGUGGGGAGCAAACAGGCUUAGAUACCCUGGUAGUCCACGCCGUAAACGGUGGGCACUAGGUGUGGGGAACAUUCCACGUUCUCCGUGCCGAAGCUAACGCAUUAAGUGCCCCGCCUGGGGAGUACGGCCGCAAGGCUA
rnacentral:rRNA from 1 species